rnacentral:lncRNA from 1 species
AAUAAAGUGAUUAAAAUCAGUCUCAACCUGUCUCUCUCACUCCUAACUCUGUGUGUGUGUGUGUGGGGGUGCGUGGGUGGUCUGUUGGGACAUGUAGUGACACUGACCACUUGCUAUGAAAUUGCUCUGAUACCACUUGAAAAUAAAAAGGGACUUUGGCUCUCUCUCUUCCCUCUCUUCCCUAUCUCUCUUCCCUCCCUUCCCUAUCUCUCUUCCCUCCCUUCCCUAUCUCUCUCCCCUCCCUUCCCUAUCUCUCUUCCCUAUCUCUCUUCCCUCCCUUCCCUAUCUCUCUUCCCUCCCUUCCCUAUCUCUCUUCCCACCCUUCCCUAUAUCUCUCUUCCCACCCUUCCCUAUCUCUCUUCCCUCCCUUCCCUAUCCCUUCCCUAUCUCUCUUCCCUCCCUGUCUCUCUUCCCACCCUUCCCUAUCUCUCUUCCCACCCUUCCCUAUAUCUCUCUUCCCACCCUUCCCUAUCUCUCUUCCCUCCCUUCCCUAUCUCUCUUCCCUCCCUUCCCUAUCUCUCUUCUCUCUCUUCCCUAUCUCUCUUCCCUCCCUUCCCUAUCUCUCUUCCCUCCCUUCCCUAUCUCUCUUCUCUCUCUUCUCUAUAUCUCUCUUCCCUCCCUUCCCUAUCUCUCUUCCCUCCCUUCCCUAUCUCUCUUCCCUCCCUCCCCUAUCUCUCUUCCCUCCCCUAUCUCUCUUCCCUUCCCUAUCUCUCUCCCCUCCCUUCCCUAUCUCUCUUCCCUAUCUCUUCCCUCCCUUCCCUAUCUCUCUCCCCUCCCUUCCCUAUCUCUCUCCCCUCCCUUCCCUAUCUCUCUCCCCUCCCUUCCCUAUCUCUCUCUCCUCCCUUCCCUAUCCCUCUCCCUUCCCUAUCUCUCUUUCCUCCCUUCCCUAUCUCUCUCCCCUCCCUUCCCUAUCUCUCUCCCCUCCCUUCCCUAUCUCUCUCUCCUCCCUUCCCUAUCCCUCUCCCUUCCCUAUCUCUCCCCUCCCUUCCCUAUCUCUCUCCCCUCCCUUCCCUAUAUCUCUCCCCUCCCUUCCCUAUCUCUCUCUCCUCCCUUCCCUAUCCCUCUCCCUUCCCUAUCUCUCUUUCCUCCCUUCCCUAUCUCUCUUCCCUCCCUUCCCUAUCUCUCUUCCCUCCCUUCCCUAUCUCUCUCCCUUCCCUAUCUCUCUCCCCUCCCUUCCCUAUCUCUCUCUCCUCCCUUCCCUAUCCCUCUCCCUUCCCUAUCUCUCUUUCCUCCCUUCCCUAUCUCUCUCUCCUCCCUUCCCUAUCUCUCUCCCUUCCCUAUCUCUCUCUCCUCCCUUCCCUAUCCCUCUCCCUUCCCUAUCUCUCUCCCCUCCCUUCCCUAUAUCUCUCCCCUCCCUUCCCUAUUUCUCUCUCCUCCCUUCCCUAUCCCUCUCCCUUCCCUAUCUCUCUUUCCUCCCUUCCCUAUCUCUCUCCCCUCCCUUCCCUAUCUCUCUCUCCUCCCUUCCCUAUCCCUCUCCCUUCCCUAUCUCUCCCCUCCCUUCCCUAUAUCUCUCCCCUCCCUUCCCUAUCUCUCUCUCCUCCCUUCUCUAUCCCUCUCCCUUCCCUAUCUCUCUUUCCUCCCUUCCCUAUCUCUCUUUCCUCCCUUCCCUAUCUCUCUCCCUUCCCUAUCUCUCCCCUCCCUUCCCUAUCUCUCUCCCCUCCCUUCCCUAUAUCUCUCCCCUCCCUUCCCUAUCUCUCUCCCCUCCCUUCCCUAUCUCUCUCCCCUCCCUUCCCUAUCUCUCUCUCCUCCCUUCCCUAUCCCUCUCCCUUCCCUAUCUCUCUUUCCUCCCUUCCCUAUCUCUCUCCCCUCCCUUCCCUAUCUCUCUCCCUUCCAUAUCUCUCUCUCCUCCCUUCCCUAUCCCUCUCCCUUCCCUAUCUCUCCCCUCCCUUCCCUAUCGCUCUCCCCUCCCUUCCCUAUAUCUCUUCCCUCCCUUCCCUAUUUCUCUCUCCUCCCUUCCCUAUCCCUCUCCCUUCCCUAUCUCUCUUUCCUCCCUUCCCUAUCUCUCUCCCCUCCCUUCCCUAUCUCUCUCUCCUCCCUUCCCUAUCCCUCUCCCUUCCCUAUCUCUCCCCUCCCUUCCCUAUAUCUCUCCCCUAUCUCUCUCUCCUCCCUUCCCUAUCCCUCUCCCUUCCCUAUCUCUCUUUCCUCCCUUCCCUAUCUCUCUCCCUUCCCUAUCUCUCCCCUCCCUUCCCUAUCUCUCUCCCCUCCCUUCCCUAUAUCUCUCCCCUCCCUUCCCUAUUUCUCUCUCCUCCCUUCCCUAUCCCUCUCCCUUCCCUAUCUCUCUUUCCUCCCUUCCCUAUCUCUCUCCCCUCCCUUCCCUAUCUCUCUCCCCUCCCUUCCCUAUCUCUCUCCCCUCCCUUCCCUAUCUCUCUCUCCUCCCUUCCCUAUCCCUCUCCCUUCCCUAUCUCUCUCCCCUCCCUUCCCUAUCUCUCUUCCCUCCCUUCCCUAUCUCUCUCCCCUCCCUUCCCUAUCUCUCUCCCCUCCCUUCCCUAUCUCUCUCCCCUCCCUUCCCUAUCUCUCUUCAUGUCACCUGUUGUGUGUAUGUACUGA